AGUGCGUAAAAGCUUACUGGUAAAGUAAUUCUGCACCUAAAAUGAACAAUAAAAUAUUCUUUUAUCGAAGUAAUGGGAUCUAUUAUUAAUAAGAUAGAUCGGUAGGGGAGCGUUCUACAUUAAAAUAAAGCAAAGUUAUUAAAUUUUGUGAAUAAAGUAGAAGUGAGAAUGUCGGUUUAAGUAACGUUAAAUAUUAAGAAGAAUCUAAUACCUCAAAAACUCAAAGGUUCCUAUGAAAGGGUAAACCGCAUAGGGUUAGUCGGGACCUAAGAUAAGAAAUUUAUUGUAAUUGAUGGGAAUCAAGUUAAUAUUCUUGAACCAUAUUUAUAUAUUAAUAUACAAUUAGUGACCUGAAUAUAAAUUUUAGGUAAUUAAAAUAAAUGAUUUUUUACUUAAAAAUAAAAUUUUUGCUAGAAAAAUGAUAUUGUAUAAUUAUAAAUAUGCCCGUACUAAAACUGACACAAGUGAGUAGGUACUAUAAUGUACUAAGAGGACGAAAUAAAUUUCUUUAAGGAACUCGGCAAAACAAUCCCUGUAACUUCGGGAUAAAGGAUGCCUAUAAGGCUGCAAUUAAAAAGUUCAAGCGACUGUUUAUCAAAAACACAGGUAUCCGCAAAAUGUAAUUAUGAAGUAAGGAUACUGACACCUGCCCAGUGCUAGUAAGUUAAAAAGAAUUUUUAUGUAAUACAAAUAAUUUUUUUAUAAGCUCUAGUAAACGGCGGCUGUAACUAUAACGGUCCUAAGGUAGCGAAAUUCAUUGUCGGGUAAGUUCCGACCCGCACGAAAGGUGUAACGACUUGAACACUGUCUUUAAGAAAUAUUCGGUGAAAUAGAAAUGUUUGUAAAGAUACAGACCAAUUAAAAAGUUCAAGCGACUGUUUAUCAAAAACACAGGUAUCCGCAAAAUGUAAUUAUGAAGUAAGGAUACUGACACCUGCCCAGUGCUAGUAAGUUAAAAAGAAUUUUUAUGUAAUACAAAUAAUUUUUUUAUAAGCUCUAGUAAACGGCGGCUGUAACUAUAACGGUCCUAAGGUAGCGAAAUUCAUUGUCGGGUAAGUUCCGACCCGCACGAAAGGUGUAACGACUUGAACACUGUCUUUAAGAAAUAUUCGGUGAAAUAGAAAUGUUUGUAAAGAUACAGAC
rnacentral:rRNA from 1 species